rnacentral:rRNA from 1 species
GAUGAACGCUGACAGAAUGCUUAACACAUGCAAGUCGACUCGAGUCUUCGGACUUGGGUGGCGCACGGGUGAGUAACGCGUAAAGAACUUGCCUCUUAGACCGGGACAACAUCUGGAAACGGAUGCUAAUACCGGAUAUUAUGGUUUUUUCGCAUGGAGGAAUCAUGAAAGCUAGAUGCGCUAAGAGAGAGCUUUGCGUCCCAUUAGCUGGUUGGUGAGGUAACGGCCCACCAAGGCAAUGAUGGGUAGCCGGCCUGAGAGGGUGAACGGCCACAAGGGGACUGAGACACGGCCCUUACUCCUACGGGAGGCAGCAGUGGGGAAUAUUGGACAAUGGACCGCAAGUCUGAUCCAGCAAUUCUGUGUGCACGAUGACGUUUUUCGGAAUGUAAAGUGCUUUCAGUUGGGAAGAAAAAAAUGACGGUACCAACAGAAGAAGUGACGGCUAAAUACGUGCCAGCAGCCGCGGUAAUACGUAUGUCACAAGCGUUAUCCGGAUUUAUUGGGCGUAAAGCGCGUCUAGGUGGUUAUGUAAGUCUGAUGUGAAAAUGCAGGGCUCAACUCUGUAUUGCGUUGGAAACUGUGUAACUAGAGUACUGGAGAGGUAAGCGGAACUACAAGUGUAGAGGUGAAAUUCGUAGAUAUUUGUAGGAAUGCCGAUGGGGAAGCCAGCUUACUGGACAGAUACUGACGCUGAAGCGCGAAAGCGUGGGUAGCAAACAGG